UACGGAGAUGGCAAGCGUUGUUCGGAUUUACUGGGCAUAAAGCGCACGUAGGCGGAGUCAUAAGUCGGUUGUGAAAUCCCGGGGCUCAACCCCGGAACAGCGGCCGAUACUGUGAUUCUGGAGCACGAAAGGGGAGAGUGGAACUUCUGGUGGAGCGGUGAAAUGCGUAGAUAUCAGAAGGAACACCGGUGGCGAAAGCGACUCUCUGGUUCGUUGCUGACGCUGAGGUGCGAAAGCUAGGGGAGCAAACGGG
rnacentral:rRNA from 1 species